CCCUAAGGCGAGGCCGAAAGGCGUAGUCGAUGGGAAACGGGUUAAUAUUCCCGUACUUGGUGUUACUGCGAAGGGGGGACGGAGAAGGCUAUGUUGGCCGGGCGACGGUUGUCCCGGUUUAAGCGUGUAGGUGUGUGUUCCAGGUAAAUCCGGUUCACUUUAACACUGAGGCGUGAUGACGAGGCACUACGGUGCUGAAGCAACAAAUGCCCUGCUUCCAGGAAAAGCCUCUAAGCAUCAGGUAACAUCAAAUCGUACCCCAAACCGACACAGGUGGUCAGGUAGAGAAUACCAAGGCGCUUGAGAGAACUCGGGUGAAGGAACUAGGCAAAAUGGUGCCGUAACUUCGGGAG
rnacentral:rRNA from 2 species